UACGGAGGGUGCAAGCGUUAUCCGGAUUCACUGGGUUUAAAGGGUGCGUAGGUGGGGAGGUAAGUCAGCGGUGAAAUCCCCGAGCUUAACUUGGGAACUGCCAUUGAUACUAUCUCUCUUGAAUAUCUUGGAGGUGAGCGGAAUAUGUCAUGUAGCGGUGAAAUGCUUAGAUAUGACAUAGAACACCAAUUGCGAAGGCAGCUCACUACACGGUAAUUGACACUGAGGCACGAAAGCGUGGGGAUCAAACAGG
rnacentral:rRNA from 1 species